GGCAGCAGCCGCGGUAACACCGGCAGCUCUAGUGGUAGCUGUUUUAUUGGGCCUAAAGCGUUCGUAGCCGGUUUAAUAAGUCUCUGGUGAAAUCCUAUAGCUUAACUGUGGGAAUUGCUGGAGAUACUAUUAGACUUGAGAUCGGGAGAGGUCAGAGGUACUCCUGGGGUAGGGGUGAAAUCCUGUAAUCCUAGGAGGACCACCUGUGGCGAAGGCGUCUGACUAGAACGAAUCUGACGGUGAGGAACGAAAGCUAGGGCGCGAACCGGAUUAGAUACCCGGGUAGUCCUAGCCGUAAACUAUGCGGACUUGGUGUGAGGGUGGCUUUGAGCCGUCCUGGUGCCGAAGGGAAGCUGUUAAGUCCGCCGCCUGGGAAGUACGGUCGCAAGACUGAACUUAAAGGAAUUGGCGGGGGAGCACCACAACGCGUGGAGCCUGCGGUUUAAUUAGAUUCAACGCCGGAGAUCUCACCAGCGGCGACAGCAGUAUGAUGACCAGGUUGAUGACUUUGUUUGACAAGCUGAGAGGUGGUGCAUGG
rnacentral:rRNA from 1 species